rnacentral:snRNA from 1 species
AGAAUAUGCAGACAAUAAUAAU